GGAUUAGAUACCCUGGUAGUCCACGCCGUAAACGAUGUCUACUAGCUGUCUGUGGUUUUAAAUCGUGGGUAGCGCAGCUAACGCACUAAGUAGACCGCCUGGGGAGUACGGCCGCAAGGUUAAAACUCAAAUGAAUUGACGGGGGCCCGCACAAGCGGUGGAGCAUGUGGUUUAAUUCGAUGCAACGCGAAGAACCUUACCAUCCCUUGACAUCCUGAGAAGCUAGAAGAGAUUUUAGUGUGCCUUCGGGAACUCAGAGACAGGUGCUGCAUGGCUGUCGUCAGCUCGUGCCG
rnacentral:rRNA from 1 species